rnacentral:rRNA from 1 species
CCAGAGAAUUUAGCAGAGAUGCUUUAGUGCCUUCGGGAACUCUGAGACAGGUGCUGCAUGGCUGUCGUCAGCUCGUGUUGUGAAAUGUUGGGUUAAGUCCCGCAACGAGCGCAACCCUUAUCCUUUGUUGCCAGCACGUAAUGGUGGGAACUCAAAGGAGACUGCCGGUGAUAAACCGGAGGAAGGUGGGGAUGACGUCAAGUCAUCAUGGCCCUUACGAGUAGGGCUACACACGUGCUACAAUGGCGCAUACAAAGAGAAGCGACCUCGCGAGAGCAAGCGGACCUCAUAAAGUGCGUCGUAGUCCGGAUUGGAGUCUGCAGCUCGACUCCAUGAAGUCGGAAUCGCUAGUAAUCGUAAAUCAGAAUGUUACGGUGAAUACGUUCCCGGGCCUUGUACACACCGCCCGUCACACCAUGGGAGUGGGUUGCAAAAGAAGUAGAUAGCUUAACCUUCGGGAGGGCGUUUACCACUUUGUGAUUCAUGACUGGGGUGAAGUCGUAACAAGGUAAGCGUAGUGCU